ACAGUACUUCCUCCAUCUGAAAAUACUUGUCGUAGAAAUGGAUACAAAUAGAUGUAUCUAAAACUAAAAUACAUCUAGAUACAUUCAUUCCUCUAACAAGUAUUUCCGGACGGAGGGAGUACAUC
rnacentral:pre_miRNA from 1 species